rnacentral:rRNA from 1 species
UACGAAGGGGGCUAGCGUUGCUCGGAAUUACUGGGCGUAAAGGGCGCGUAGGCGGCACUGCUCGUCAGGCGUGAAAGUCCUGGGCUCAACCUGGGAACUGCGCUUGAUACGGCAGAGCUAGAGGAUGGAAGAGGCUCGCGGAAUUCCCAGUGUAGAGGUGAAAUUCGUAGAUAUUCGGAAGAACACCAGUGGCGAAGGCGGCUCACUGGACCGGUAUUGACGCUGAGGUGCGAAAGCGUGGGGAGCAAACAGG